GGAAGAAGGCGCCCCUUUUGCUACUCUCUCGUCCGCUUUUGCUUUUCCGGGCUAAGCUGUAGACGAACCGGUCGACAGCCGCAACGUGCGGGGGGCUUGGCGAUCAGAAUCCCUUAGGAGAAAGCGGCAUUCGAGCUAAUGGACAACCCUCAUCCUUCAUGCAGUUCCUCAAAGUACAACUGGACAGGCUGUAACAGAAAAGCAGAGCUGGUAGCCGGCGCACCCCCCCAAACCCAAUCCGCGAUGCACGAGAGGCAUGCACAGAUGACAAUACAUGGCGCAUUACUGUGGAACCGGUGGGCCGUUAGAAAAUUUUACUACUAACUGAGAUACAAAAGUGGACGCUAUGAGAGCAAACCAAUGUUGGGUGGGGCUGGAGCAGAAUUAUGAAUCAUAUUAUCCAGGACAAACAAUAAACAGAAGAAUCAGCAAGUAUAAGACUCUUCAUUCUAACCAGCUCCUUCAUCCCUCAGCAAAAGAAGCCUAAAGGAUAUACUUUAUUUCUUUGUGGUGUAUCAAGGAGCAUACAACAUAUGCCUGAACUGUGUGAUUGUGCGGGAGUUUUCUCUAUAAUACUGUAUGUAUUAGGGAGGAAAUUGAUUUUCCUUAUGUCAGCCUUCCAGAAGCUGCUACCUUUCAUAUGUGUGGGAUCCUAUAAUACUCAGGCUCUGGGGCAUAAUAUUGGGUGAAGCUAUUUUAGGAUGUCACUUGAUCCUGUCUUAUUUUGUACAUGAAUUUACCUUUGGGUGGAAUUUUGCAUAUGUUUUGAAUAAACAUCAGGUUGCCUUUCAUCUGGUAAAUAAAGUCUUAACAUGGGAAAAUCUUGCCUGAAUUAUUUUAUAGUCACCUGAAAUUCUUUCAGGGCCUGAAAUGUCCUACUGAGCUUUUGCCUGAAGGAGGAAAAUCCAGUUAAUUUUAAUAUUAUGGAAUGCUCAUAGUAGAGCAGCAAAAUCUCAUCAAAUAAAACCAAUUUGCCAAGUCAUUUGCACAAUUUCCUGAGAUAAGAAAUCCUAUGCUGUAUUUACUCUACAGAGCAGCUAUAUUUAACAGAGAUAAGCCAGGAUUCUGGUUAAUUGUAAAUUAGAAGCAACCAGUUUGAUCCCCAUUUAAUUCAGGCAGAUAAAACUAAUCAGAUUGUGGUGCCUUUCAUAAGGUUUUGGUAUUUUGUCCUUGAACAAAUCAGGAUCAAAGUUUUAGAAACAAUAAGUCUGAAAAUGUUACUUCCUAUCACAUUCUGCUUGAUAAUAAGCAAGGAUAAGUCAAGAAUCCUAUUUUAUUAUGAACACAGCUGUUUAAAAGAAUAUUUUUGGAAUAUCUAUGAAAUUCAAGACAAAGAAAAGGGUAUUGUAUCUUUUUAAUCCUUGUUAAAAAAUAACAAUUCACUCUAGGCAUACAUUCUUUCAUCAUGAAAAUGCCCAACAAAAAAUGAAACCUUGGGUUUAUAUAAAUGAUUGCAUUGUAUUAUAGUGAUUUUUUUUCACAGUUAAACAGCAGUUAAUAUAUCAGGGUAAUUUCAUGCUCGUUCCUAAUUUGGUCAUUUGUAAACUAGGGUGUGGGUUUAAUGCCUUGCUACGUAUUAGUAACAGGGCAUUUUAAAGUAAUUUAAAAAACAUCAAGAUGAAUCAUUAUGAUAUUUGGUAGCCAUUAAUUUUUACUAUCUACUUGAGAGAUCUAGUUAUGAAAGAAUAACUUUAUCAUAUGUACUUAUCGACAUAUGUUGCCUAAACUGAUUAUAUUUUUAUAACCAAAACUUUGUGUAGGCGAAUGUAAGAUGUUAUUUUAAAAAAUUAUACUCUGCUUGUAGAUUCAAAUGUUUUUAGCACUUUCAAAAUAUGAGAAAACUUUUUUGUUACAUCAUUUUAAUAUUCUAGUCCAGUUGGCAACUUUAAUAUAAUCAAAUUUGAAAAAAACUUGUAGUCUAAGGAAUGUUAGUUCCUUUUUCCAAGAAAAAAAAGGGGGUUAUGUCCAGAGGUGGGUUUCAGCAGGUUCUGACCAGUUCUG